UGACCUCGAACUCAGAGAUCCGCCUGCCUCCGCCUCCCGAGUGCUGGGAUUAAAGGUGUGCGCCACCACCUGGCUUGCGUCUAGCUUUUCAUUUAUUUAUUAUUUAUUGAUGUAAUCAUUACUAUUAACACUAUGUAGAUUCCGGGGCUCAAACCUACAUCUCACUGGCUCAGCUAUCACCCAAGUCCCAAUUUUCUACUUUAAACUCAUACAUUUUUUUCGAGUUUGCUGGUUAGCUUUUAUCUCAACUUGGUACAAGCUACAGUCAUCUGGGAAGAGGGGAACCUUGACUGAGAAAAUGCCUCCCCAUCAGACUGGCAUGGAGGUAAGUCUGUGCGGGUAUUUUCCUGAUUGAUGAGUGGCGUGAGAGGACUCACCCCACCGUGGGUGGUGCCAUGCCUGGACAGGUGGUCCCUGUUGAACGAAACAGCAAGCUGAGUGAGUCAGCAGGAGCAAACUGGAGAGCAGCGGCACCGCUCCACGGUCUGCUUCCCUUCCUGCCUCCAGGGCUCCUGUCUGGGGUUCUGUGCUACCUGCGCGUCCCUUCGUGACGGACGGUAAGCUGUGCCGUGAACUAAACGCUGCUUUUGGCUCUAACGUUUAUCGCAGCAAUGGAAAACAAACUAGGACACCAGGUAUCCUCGGCAACACUUGAAAACAAAACGAGUGACCAGGUGUAACCCCGGCCCUCGAAAGCUGGUCAGGGGAACCAUAAGGACCUCUAGACCCCGAGAAAAGGUGGGAGGGGAAGGUCCAACUCCACCUCACGGCCUCUCAUCCUCACAUGCGCACUACCGCCAGUGCGACCCCGACCCCGACCCCACCCCCUCAUCUAUACAUACACACAGUAAUAAGUAAGUUCAAAACCAUUAAUUUUCAGGCAUAAGUUCUGAUUCUGGAACAAGUAAGUUUCUUCCUUUUAUGUUUGUGAUAGGGUCUCUCUCUGCUACUCACGCUGCCUCUGAGGUUGUGGGCUAAAGUGAUCUUUCUAUACUUGCCUCAGGAGUACCUAGGAUUCCUCACAAGCUGCCACAUUCCGCCAGAAGGGUUGUGUUUGUGUGAAGAGGGCAUGAUGAUCAUCAUUGGUUCUACACAAUUGUUCUAUGACCCUAAAAGACUCCAAAUCAAGGACUCCAUCCAUAAGUCCCUUCCACAAUAACAAACUUCUCAUCGCUGCUUUAAAACACACCUAAGGUGACACAGCGCUGCCCAGAAGAGCCUUCAUCCAGGAAAACAGCUGCGGGAGGGACCAAGGAAACUUUCAAAGCACCUUGCACUUUUGAAAAACAGCAUUCUUGUCCGACUGUUUCUCUGUAUUAUUUAAUAACUAGACUAGACAAUGACAUUUGUUUUCCAAAUCCAAUAAUAUCAGGAAGUGUAAUCUAAAUGAUUUACUACUUGUAAGUAAACUAACCCCCUCUUUAACCUAUGCUCAAUUGGGAAGGAAAACAUUACCUAGCAUUUCGACAGACAUACACUCUUGCAAAAGCUUCUUACAAAACUUCAGAAUUUUAUCUGUUCUAUGCUGCACGUGAGUCUCAUCUAGAGAGGAUCCCCAAAACAACUCAACAGGUUACAGGAGCUUUAAAAACAAAGAUAUAAAAAUCCAGGGCCUGGAAGCUGGGAUGGAGCUCAGUGGCAGAGUCUUUGCAAAGGUUGAUUGAAACAUUGGGUCUUAUGCUCAAUACCCUGUAGCCCAUCUCGAAUGCGCGCACCUGUGUGUGUGUGUGUGCGUGUGUGUGCACACACACACACACACACACACACACACACACAGGGUUGCACUUGUCUAGCAUGCAUAAAGCCCUGGAUUCCAUCCCCAACACUGCAUAAAAGUGCUGUGUGAUGAUGCAAAGAUACUUCCUAUAAUCUCAGCAUUCCAGAACAGGAGACAGGAGGAUCAGAAUUUGAAAUUCAUCUCAUCUACUAGGGAGUUCGAGGUCGUAUGGAUUACAGGAGACCAGCUCAAAACAAAAUGCCAAGAAAAUAGUUUGUGAAUACAAUUACACAUCUCCAGCUAUUGGGAGAUGUUGUAAUAUGCACUUUUUAUUGUGGGUUGUGGUCAGACGCAGCGUGAGAGUCACUCAUCUAACCAAGCUGUGGAGUUACUCGAUUACAUGAUUACACAUACAGAUUUUUCAAACAAAGACAUAUUGUUCAGAGCAGGGCUUUUCAGACAGAAACACAAAGGGAAUGGAAACCAGGGCUGCUUAUGGCCUUAAUUACACCACUGAACGUUCAAUAUUAGCACAGCUCAGCCAAAAGGAGCCAAAGCCCAAGCCUGAAGCUGACUCUAAACAAGGAACAAGCCAGAAACUGGUACAGCCGGAAGUGGGACAUUGGGAAGUGGCCAUCCCUGCCCUAGCUGCCUGAUGCUUCAGGGCUCCACAUUCCAAAGAGAUUAUUCCAUAUGGUGUCCUGACUGGCGUCCAUGAAAACUGGGAAGGAAACAGAUUCUAAGAUCAUCCUGCAGAAGUCUGGAACACAGGCGAGCAAUUCCUUGUUCGUGGACCAAAGUCUAAAUGUUGACCAUCGAAGUGAAACAUUAAAGAUCCACUUAAAAA